CCUACGGGAGGCAGCAGUGGGGAAUAUUGCACAAUGGGGGAAACCCUGAUGCAGCGACGCCGCGUGAGGGAAGAAGGAAUUCGGUAUGUAAAGCUCUAUCAGCAGGGAAGAAAAUGACGGUACCUGAGUAAGAAGCCCCGGCUAACUACGUGCCAGCAGCCGCGGUAAUACGGAGGGGGCAAGCGUUAUCCGGAUUUACUGGGUGUAAAGGGAGCGUAGACGGCCGUGCAAGUCUGGAGUGAAAGGCGGGGGCUCAACCCCCGGACUGCUCUGGAAACUGUAAGGCUGGAGUGCAGGAGAGGUAAGUGGAAUUCCUAGUGUAGCGGUGAAAUCCGUAGAUAUCAGGAGGAACACUCGUGGCGAAGGCGGCUUACUGGACUGUAACUGACGUUGAUGCUCGAACGCGUGGGGAGCAAACAGGAUUAGAUACCCGUGUAGUC
rnacentral:rRNA from 1 species